GAGCAGCAGAGGCAGGUGCCAGAGCUGAGGUGGCCUGAAGAGCGGAGGUGGCCGUCCUUCCCAGAGUGGGCAUCAAGCCUGGAGUGGGAGCCAUGGCGCUCUGACACAGAGGAAUCUACAACAGCUCAUGAACCACCACAUUCUUUGGGGGAAGAGAUGAGAAGGAAGCUGACUAACAUUUGAUUGCAUAACCAGAAAAAUGAGGAGCAGAGCCAGAUGGUAUCCACCACAGAGAGAAUCGGUUGCAAGCUAAGCCAUACAACAGCAGCCCAGAGUGCACACGUCAUGGCAUAAGGCACCUAAUGGCAGCUAGUGUGUGGACACAAUCGUCUGAGAACAGAAGUAGCCAGUCACCUUCCUCAUGUUUGGAAUGCCCUGUCUCAGCUCAUCCUGAGUGCCAACAUAGACACCAGAGCUUAUAUUCUAGAAAGGGUGGGUCCCAGCUUACCAAGCCACCUAUGAAUCCAGUUCCUUGAAAAUGGGUUCCUCAUCGUCUCGGACUUUUGGCUAAGAUCAAGUGUAGUAUGUACUCUUAUCAGUUUAAUAUUUGAUACGUCCUCUAUCUGAGGACAAUAUAUUAGCCAGGAGCUGGAAAGAACCCAGAUGUCCCUCAAUGGAGGAAUGGAUACAGAAAAUGUGGUAUAUUUACACAAUGGAAUACUACUCAGCAAUUAAAAACAAUGAAUUCAUGAAAUUUUUAGGCAAAUGGUUGGAACUGGAAAAUAUCAUCCUAAGUGAGGUAACCCAAUCACAAAAGAAUACACAUGGAAUGCAGUCACCGAUAAGUGGAUAUUAAUUAGCCCAGAAGCUCUGAAUACUCAAGACACAAUUAGCAUAUCAAAUGAUACCCAAAGAGAAGGAAGGAGAGGGCCCUGGUCCUGGAAAGGCUUGAUCCAGCAUU